UACGUAGGGGGCAAGCGUUGUCCGGAUUUAUUGGGUUUAAAGGGUGCGUAGGCGGCUUUGUAAGUCAGUGGUGAAAUAUGGCAGCUCAACUGUCAAGGUGCCAUUGAUACUGCGGAGCUUGAGUACAGAUGAGGUAGGCGGAAUUGACGGUGUAGCGGUGAAAUGCUUAGAUAUCGUCAAGAACACCGAUAGUGUAGACAGCUUACUAAGCUUUAACUGACGCUGAGGCACGAAAGUGUGGGGAUCAAACAGG
rnacentral:rRNA from 1 species